rnacentral:rRNA from 1 species
UGGCGGCAGGCCUAACACAUGCAAGUCGAACGGUAACAGGAAGAAGCUUGCUUUUUUGCUGACGAGUGGCGGACGGGUGAGUAAUGUCUGGGAAACUGCCUGAUGGAGGGGGAUAACUACUGGAAACGGUAGCUAAUACCGCAUAACGUCGCAAGACCAAAGAGGGGGACCUUCGGGCCUCUUGCCAUUGGAUGUGCCCAGAUGGGAUUAGCUAGUAGGUGGGGUAACGGCUCACCUAGGCGACGAUCCCUAGCUGGUCUGAGAGGAUGACCAGCCACACUGGAACUGAGACACGGUCCAGACUCCUACGGGAGGCAGCAGUGGGGAAUAUUGCACAAUGGGCGCAAGCCUGAUGCAGCCAUGCCGCGUGUAUGAAGAAGGCCUUCGGGUUGUAUAAGUACUUUCAGCGGGGAGGUAAGGGAGUAUAUAGUUAAUACCUUGCUCAUGACGUACCCGCAGAAGA